GCCCGUAUGGCUCAGCGGAAGAGCGCCGCUUUCACACGGCGGAGGCCCCAGGUUCGAUCCCUGGUGCGGGCA
rnacentral:tRNA from 1 species